UCUUAAAGCUGUUCUCAGUUCGGACUGCAGUCUGCAACUCGACUGCACGAAGCUGGAAUCGCUAGUAAUCGCGGAUCAGCACGCCGCGGUGAAUACGUUCCCGGGCCUUGUACACACCGCCCGUCACACCAUGGAACGUCUGCAAUGCCCGAAGCCGGUGGCCUAACCACUUAUGUGGAAGGAGCCGUCUAAGGCAGGGCAGAUGACUGGGGUGAAGUCGUAACAAGGUACC
rnacentral:rRNA from 1 species